CAGCCCGCUCCCACAAUCCAUCGCCACCCACCCAUGACUCCCUCACCCUGGCUAGGGUUCCUAGCCCCUCCUCCUCAGCCGCCGCUGCAUGUUCCUCGCUGGCCUCGCCCGGGCGCCUCCCGGACCUCGCCGGGAGAAGCCAGCCAGCGCCGUUCCGACCUCCUCCUUAAGCCCUCGCCCCCAUCCUCCUACUCAAGACGUCACCGUCGCCUCCCUCGCCCGCGGCCAUGAUGACCGAUCUGGCGGUGGCGCCGCAGAUCACCCUCUGGUCCAUGGCCUCGACGGCGACGACGUAGCCCGCGCCCGCGUUCUUCCUCCCCCAUCUCAUCUCCUCUCCGGUCGCUGCAGAGGAGCCCCGUUUCGCGCCACCACCAUGGUUGCCUGCAGAGAGCAGCAGAGGACCUAGCCCUCGCGUCCGACCGCAACCGCCGCCUGAAACCCUAGCCCCUCCUUCCAACUGCAGGUCAAGCCAGCAGGAUCCCCUCCAAGAAGAGCAUUUGAUGCGCCCGACUCAUCUCUGCUUGUGCACAACAAGGAAGGCCAUGGACCGCGAACCUGCUCGACCUGCUCGACCUCCUCCUCACGCCGCCUCGGCCUCCCGGCCCUUGUCGCCGUUGGUCGCCCUCCACGGGUUCUGACGUGCCGUCGCCAACCGCCAGAGAUGCCACCUCCUCAACGCACGAUAUAACCACAUUUACGUGCAAUAUGCAACAGCUGUUUUCUCUGCUUCAGUAUUUUUGUGUCUCUGGCAAAGUUAAUCAUCUUAUUCAUGUCAUUUAUUUAGGAGGGAUCCCAAUUACUGACUGCAUCAGGCGACCAAUCUGUAAAGAUAUGGAGCGUGGAGAAUAAGAAAUGCCUUGGUGUGCUGUCAGGGCACACUAGAAGUGUGAAGUCACUGACAUGCCAUUCUUCAAACCCUGGUUAUUGUUUAUGCAGAUCUUAUUAUUUCUGGUUCAAGAGAUGGUUCUUUUCCACUUUGGGAUCUAAGAUGUGACCCCCAAACCCCAAAUGGUCAUGGUGAAGCAUGACUCAUGUAUGUUAUCUAAUGGCUACUGCAAUCUAAAUGCUCCUUUUAAUUGCAAUCAUCAAAUAUUCGUAACAAUAUAGCAUCUUUAACUGAAUUCGUAGCAAUAUAGCAUCUUUACAUGUUAGAUCUUCUGGUUUUGUCAAAGAAGAGCACAGUCCCACUCGAAGGAAUCGGAUAAGGUCUUGAGCAAAGGGAGCUUCGACGAGCAUCACAUCAGUUCUGUAUCUGAAAGAUGACCUCUCCAUUGCUACUUCUGGAGUGCGAGCUGUUGGUGUUUGUCGUGUUAGGAAGAUGGGUGUAUAACUCGUGGAUCUUGGGGACAAGCGGAUGGAUCUUGGGUCUUGGGGACAAGCGGAUGGUGUUCGUCGUGUUAGGAAGAUGGGUGUAUAACUCGUGGAGUGCGAGCUGUUGCGUGGCGACACUCGACUGCAUUCGUUGAUCUGACUGUCUGUCAUCGUGCAGGUGUCGAAUUGUUGAUGGAGGCUUCAGGUCGUCCUUCUCAAGGAGAUGAGGCUGGCCAUUAAGGAUCUGGGGUGAAGGUCAUGUCAUCUCUUCUCGUGGCUCUACUGCCCACUGCUUCCACUGCUGAUAUUUUGAGCUCUUUGAUCAGAGCAAGCACCAUGGGAAGGAAAGAUGUUGGGGGCGUGAACUGUCCCGACAACGACAUUGUUGCCUGCUGACUAUGUGCAGGACUACCUGGCUCGACCUCUAUCUCAAUGUCAGAAAAUUAGGAACCUGAAGGGAAAAUGGAAGGCGCCUUUGAUGGACAUUCAGCCCGGAGUACAAGGAUGAUCCCUACAUCUAUACUUUUGAUAUGCUGAAGCACAUUGGCAUUGAGCUAAGGCAGGUUAGUGCUGCACAAAUUCUGUUAAGUGUAGUUGGCACAUCUAUAACUCGUUCCCCGUCCCUCUUGCGCGGCGGCGGCACAGAUGUAGGGCAGCGGUGGCGGGUGCAUAUGUAGGGAAGCAGCAGCGGGUAAAACCGUCUUAGGGAGAUCCUCUUCUCAUAUCAUGCCCAGUUGUUACUCCUCCAUUCGCUCGCCUCUCACCAUAUGUUGUACAAUAGUGCGGUGGUGGCGGGUACAGGCGCAGCGCGAUGACCUGUGGGCGCACCAGCUCUAGGAUGACCAGGGGCUUGGUAGUUGGGUCCGACAUCCCUGUGGUGGACAGAGAUGAUGGCGUAUGGAAGUGUCCGGUGGUGGGCAGGGAACAAUGUGGCCCUUUCGUCGUCCUCUUCGUUCAGCUUGACAUGACCGUCGUUCAGCUGAAGACAAGAUUACAUGGGGACGAUUAAAACUGGGGCAUGAAUGCACAAUACAUAUGUGAUGUGAUUUUUCUAAAUGGAAUUAAUUUUGUAUAGCUUGCAUCCCUUUCUUCUGUUAGUAAUUUGUAAAUAACAUGAAUCCAGUUUUAUACAUAAGCAAGUGGUAGCCAAGUGGUCUGGUUAUACAUUUGUGAAGAACCUGCUUGAAUGCAUAUGGCCUGGAUGCCUAGGUGUACUUCACCCUAACUUCACCACAAAUCUGGAGAACUCACGUACCCAAAUUUCCAUCAUGCCAUGAAUGUUAGAUGCCUAUAAUGCUUUGGGAGCUGGGCGGAUAUGUGUUUCAUGAUUUGUUUUUUUUUCUGGAAGGAAGAUCUUGUAAGUUAUUCUGUCUUUCAACCUGUGCGUAGCAUUUUGAUGUAAGUGGUCUGGUUCUCUCAAUCUAUGUGUAGCGCGUUGUGUUUGUACUUCAAGCUGGCAGAGUAUAGAUCACUUUCAUGGUCCAAAUUACUAGCAUCAAUCGAAUCAUGGUUAGUCAUUCCAGUUUUCGCAUCUCGGUGCCUAAUUACUCUCUAAUAUUAUUUAUUUUAUCAUAUAUGAUGAGUAAUAUUUCCUUACUUUUUUUGUAGGACACAAGAUUUCAGUACCCUGUAAUAAUCUCUUAGGUGACUUUUGGACAAGUACACGCCCAGAUUUUUGGGAUUAAUAACACUGCUGAGUUAAUAUGAUAGUAUUGACAUUUUUGGUACCUGUCUAAGUUUCUGGAAGAUUAGUCUGCUUUUAAAAAUAUAUGAUAUCGCAUACAAAAUUGUUUACUCUUGUUUAGGGAAGCAGGGAUAUAUAAUACACACAUCAUAUUUAAGAACUAUGCUUUGCUCAGGUCUCUUGAUAUUUUCUAAACACAAAAAUUAAUUGCUCGGCACCGAGCACGAUAGUAUAUAAUAAGGUAGGCAAGUUUCUUAUCAGUCUAUCAGUCAUUUGCAAAUCUGGACAUGAUCGGCAUUCACUUCAGUUGUAGGCAAUAGUUACCAUUUAGUUCCGUUCUGGGUUCCAUUAGUUCAAUUAUGGGCAAUGGUGGCUAUUUAGUUCAGUUCAUGUUCAGUUCUGGGUUCCAUUAGUUCAAUUAUGGGCAAUAGUGGCCAUUUAGUUCAGUUCAUGUUUAGUUCUGGGUGCCAGCAAUAGUUGUCAUCUAUUUUAGGUCAAGUUUAGUUUUUGGUGCCAUUUAGUUUAGUUCAGUUAGGAGCAACAAUUGACAUUCAGUUCAGUUAAGAGUUCUGCAUAUGUACUUCUGUCGAAUUCUGCACUUGCACAAAGCUUACUGGAACACUCGUUUGGUCAUAACAUUCAAGCAAAAAAAAAAAUCCAUUACAUCUCUUUCCACACAUGUACAAGUAGUAACUGCAAUUCCUUUUCAGUCAUAAGGUCCAGUCAUAACAACAAUAGUUAGUGAUCACAAUUUUGCAUGUCAUACUAAAUUCAACUAACAUCAAUGACUUAGUUGGACGCUUUUUGCACUUUAAACAUUUUAGAAUGGUUGUUUACGAUCAGCAACUCAUUAGGCGGCGGUGGCAUAGGCGGUGGCAUAGUUGGACGCUUUGGAAUUAGCUGUUCGACUGAGAUGUGUUGGACAAAGAUAUUGCCAGUUCCUCUGAGUAUACUUGACUUGUAUAAUGUGAUUUUCAUUUAUUUAGAGUGAAUUACAUAAUAUAUAGAUAUGCAUUAUUAUAGCUUUAGUAACUGAUUUUCUGAUGUUUAGAAACAUGCGAGGUGUGUGUGUGGGGGGGGGAGGGGGUGUCUUUGCUUUACUUUGAUUUUAUAUACCUCAAUAUUUUUUUACAUAUGUUGCGAUCGCAAAAAUAUUAUCAACAAAAAAUAUUGAAAUACUCAAAAAUAAAAUUACUACUUCCAGAUAUUUGACUGAUUAGUCACCAAAAAAAGAAGAUCGAAAGCAUAUUUCUAAUUAAUAAGGUUGACAAGAUAUGCAUUGCUACGCAGUUAGUAACUAAUAUGUGAAUGGUAAUUGGGAGCCGGAUGCGCCCUUGACGUGGAGAUAGUCGGUACCACAAGAAUAAAUAAUUCACUGGUAAAGACGGUCGGUAUCGUUGCGUGUUGUGCAUGACCAGUGUUAAACCUCUAAAAUAUGUAUGCCCCCUUGGAACGCACGGGCAAUUAACAAGACCACUACUAUAGCAGAUUGUAUCUGGAAUUUUAAGAAGCCUUCUUCUAUUUGCAGGACACCAGACUCUAAACAUGGGUCAAGCUGGAGCGACUCAAGAUGCAGCUUGACUUCUGGUACACUAUAUGAGUGAUUCAAAUUUGCUCAAGGUGAACAAUAGCUGGCAUGGAGCCAACCGGAGGAAGGACUCUUGAUUCUAAAGUUUACAAUCCUCCCAACAACCAGUUCUUGCCACGGACACUGAAUGUUGUGACGUCAAUUUGGAAGCCACGGGAUGGAUCCCUUUCAGAGCGAUCUAGACGCCCUCGAUGCCUCGACAACUUCACGAGUGUCUGAAGUGUAAACUGACAUCAUACUUAUAACUGGUAGGAGGAGACAGGUAAGAUCAGUCACCAGUGAUGGAGUCAUGAGUUUGUUGACGUCGUGCUAAACGUUGGUGUAGGGCCAAAGGAGAAGACAUGGUGCAAAAUUCUUGAGCUUGACAUUAUGGUACAAUAUAAAUUUGAGUAUUCUUUCCUGUCAUAGCAGUCUAUAGCCUAUAUCACAUUGCAAAAUUCCAUGAACAAUUGGUCCACAUUAUUUGUUUGUUAUAUUGUUCAUGCCCAAGCAUGGAUGCAGCUGGAUGUGGGUGCCAGGGCCGCCACCAAGGAUGUAGGGGUCGCGCCACAAUGGGCGAGGAUGCAUUGGUCAUGCCGAAACUGACGAGGACACGUGAGCCGCACUCCAGCCUUAGUGUUUUUCCUAAUUUCUUUAGGUACGCGAGGUUGAUUUAAUAUUCACAUGUAUGCUGAAAUUAUGACACCAAAGAACCAGCAAUGGAGUUAUAUGAAAUUUCUCCCGAGAGCUAUACUACCAUUCUUUUUAGUAUUGACUAAUUCCCAUGAGUUGCCCCAAAAUUGUAAAUAUGAAUUUGGAUGAUUCAUUGGUCCUCAUUAAAAUAGCAGCAUGAAAUAACCCUCCA